AUGAACGCUAGCUACAGGCUUAACACAUGCAAGUCGAGGGGCAGCAUGGUCUUAGCUUGCUAAGGCCGAUGGCGACCGGCGCACGGGUGAGUAACACGUAUCCAACCUGCCGUCUACUCUUGGACAGCCUUCUGAAAGGAAGAUUAAUACAAGAUGGCAUCAUGAGUCCACAUGUUCACAUGAUUAAAGGUAUUCCGGUAGACGAUGGGGAUGCGUUCCAUUAGAUAGUAGGCGGGGUAACGGCCCACCUAGUCUUCGAUGGAUAGGGGUUCUGAGAGGAAGGUCCCCCACAUUGGAACUGAGACACGGUCCAAACUCCUACGGGAGGCAGCAGUGAGGAAUAUUGGUCAAUGGGCGAGAGCCUGAACCAGCCAAGUAGCGUGAAGGAUGACUGCCCUAUGGGUUGUAAACUUCUUUUAUAAAGGAAUAAAGUCGGGUAUGGAUACCCGUUUGCAUGUACUUUAUGAAUAAGGAUCGGCUAACUCCGUGCCAGCAGCCGCGGUAAUACGGAGGAUCCGAGCGUUAUCCGGAUUUAUUGGGUUUAAAGGGAGCGUAGAUGGAUGUUUAAGUCAGUUGUGAAAGUUUGCGGCUCAACCGUAAAAUUGCAGUUGAUACUGGAUAUCUUGAGUGCAGUUGAGGCAGGCGGAAUUCGUGGUGUAGCGGUGAAAUGCUUAGAUAUCACGAAGAACUCCGAUUGCGAAGGCAGCCUGCUAAGCUGCAACUGACAUUGAGGCUCGAAAGUGUGGGUAUCAAACAGGAUUAGAUACCCUGGUAGUCCACACGGUAAACGAUGAAUACUCGCUGUUUGCGAUAUACAGCAAGCGGCCAAGCGAAAGCGUUAAGUAUUCCACCUGGGGAGUACGCCGGCAACGGUGAAACUCAAAGGAAUUGACGGGGGCCCGCACAAGCGGAGGAACAUGUGGUUUAAUUCGAUGAUACGCGAGGAACCUUACCCGGGCUUAAAUUGCAGAUGAAUUACGGUGAAAGCCGUAAGCCGCAAGGCAUCUGUGAAGGUGCUGCAUGGUUGUCGUCAGCUCGUGCCGUGAGGUGUCGGCUUAAGUGCCAUAACGAGCGCAACCCUUGUUGUCAGUUACUAACAGGUUCCGCUGAGGACUCUGACAAGACUGCCAUCGUAAGAUGUGAGGAAGGUGGGGAUGACGUCAAAUCAGCACGGCCCUUACGUCCGGGGCUACACACGUGUUACAAUGGGGGGUACAGAGGGCCGCUACCACGCGAGUGGAUGCCAAUCCCAAAAACCUCUCUCAGUUCGGACUGGAGUCUGCAACCCGACUCCACGAAGCUGGAUUCGCUAGUAAUCGCGCAUCAGCCACGGCGCGGUGAAUACGAUCCCGGGCCUUGUACACACCGCCCGUCAAGCCAUGGGAGCCGGGGGUACCUGAAGUGCGUAACCGCGAGGAGCGCCCUAGGGUAAAACUGGUGACUGGGGCU
rnacentral:rRNA from 1 species